rnacentral:rRNA from 1 species
UGGGGAAUAUUGCGCAAUGGGCGAAAGCCUGACGCAGCGACGCCGCGUGGGGGAUGAAGGCCUUCGGGUUGUAAACCUCUUUUGGCAGGGACGAAGUUGACGUGUACCUGCGGAAGAAGCGCCGGCUAACUACGUGCCAGCAGCCGCGGUAAUACGUAGGGCGCGAGCGUUGUCCGGAAUUAUUGGGCGUAAAGAGCUCGUAGGCGGCUGGUCGCGUCUGCCGUGAAAGCCCGCGGCUUAACCGUGGGUCUGCGGUGGAUACGGGCCGGCUAGAGGCAGGCAGGGGCAAGUGGAAUUCCUGGUGUAGCGGUGAAAUGCGCAGAUAUCAGGAGAAACACCGGUGGCGAAGGCGGCUUUGCUUGGGCCUUGUCCUGACGCUGAGGAGCGAAAGCGUGGGGAGCGAACA